rnacentral:ncRNA from 2 species
UGAAAUCAAAUUCCUGUCGGUAUCCGAACUUCGGAUAAAGGGAAUUCGAUGUGAUCCGGUUUUGCCAGACCAUUGACCGAAGCUGCCCCCGCAACUGUAGGCGGUGAGCAUUUUCUGAUUUUGCCACUGGGUGAUGCCCGGGAAGGCCAGAAAAUGUAGUGACCCGUGAGCCAGGAGACCUGCCGACAUGAACACGACGGA